AGAUUGAACGCUGGCGGCGUGCCUAACACAUGCAAGUCGAGCGGUAACAGGUGUAGCAAUACAUGCUGACGAGCGGCGAACGGGUGAGUAAUGCUUUGGAAUCUUCCCAGUAGUGGGGAAUAACCAGUCGAAAGAUUGGCUAAUACCGCAUACGUCUGUAAAGGGAAAGCGGGGGCUCGUAAGACCUCGCGCUAUUGGAUGAGCCAAAGUCGGAUUAGCUAGUUGGUGGGGUAACGGCCUACCAAGGCGACAAUCCGUAGCUGGUCUGAGAGGACGACCAGCCACACCGGAACUGAGACACGGUCCGGACUCCUACGGGAGGCAGCAGUGGGGAAUAUUGGACAAUGGGGGAAACCCUGAUCCAGCGACGCCGCGUGUGUGAAGAAGGCCUGCGGGUUGUAAAGCACUUUUUAGUGGGGACAAAAAGCUACGGAUUAAUACUCUGUGGUCUUGAUUUAACCCAAAGAAAAGCACCGGCUAACUCUGUGCCAGCAGCCGCGGUAA
rnacentral:rRNA from 1 species